rnacentral:tRNA from 1 species
GUCCCCGUAGUUUAAUGGAUAAAACGAGAGCCUUCUAAGCUCUAGAUCAAGGUUCGAUUCCUUGCGGGGGCA